rnacentral:rRNA from 1 species
UCGAGAAUUUCUCGCAAUGGGGGCAACCCUGACGGAGCGACGCCGCGUGGAGGAUGAAGGUCUUCGGAUUGUAAACUCCUGUCAUUGGUGAACAAGAUUUUCGCGUUAACUGCGCGGGAAUUUGCUAGUAGCCGAAGAGGAAGGGACGGCUAACUCUGUGCCAGCAGCCGCGGUAAUACAGAGGUCCCGAGCGUUGUUCGGAUUCAUUGGGCGUAAAGGGUGCGUAGGCGGUCUGCUAAGUUUGAUGUGAAAUCCCGGGACUCAACCCUGGCAUGGCAUUGAAUACUGGCGGACUAGAGUCCUGGAGAGGAAACUGGAAUUUACGGUGUAGCAGUGAAAUGCGUAGAGAUCGUAAGGAAGACCAGUGGCGAAGGCGAGUUUCUGGACAGGUACUGACGCUGAGGCACGAAGGCCAGGGGAGCAAACGG